ensembl:snRNA U2 U2 spliceosomal RNA
AUCGCUUCUCGGCCUUUUGGCUAAGAUCAAGUGUAGUAUCUGAGACAGAAACAUGAGGCUUGUAGUCCUAAAUUUAGAUUUUGAAAAAGCCUUU